rnacentral:lncRNA from 1 species
AGGGAACAGUUAUAACCUAACUGCUCAACCUCUCCUAAUAAAAAGGGGAAGUCUUCUGCUUCAAAAGAGAGAGCACGAGAGACAUUACGUAGAAAACAAAAAGGAAAAACCGGCAAGAAGGAAAAGCAAUCAUAACUUUCUAGAUUACAUCAUCACACUAAAAGACAUUUAGUUUGUGAACUUUGACCUUGAUUUCCUAGUGAAAUUAAAGGAGACUUGGAACAGAUUCUUUUGGUAGCAACAACAACAAUAUUCGAUGCGAAUUUAAGGUACAGAAUCCGUUAUUUUUUCUCCGAAUUAUAUUACAUUGGCAUCAGAGCAUGGUUGAAUGAUCCGGUUAUUCAUGUAAAUUGUCUUGAAAUCAACUGUUUUAUAAGUUUAGGUUGAGAUUUUUUGUUGUUGGCUAAUUUUUGACAAGUUUCAGAGAAAACCGUUUCUGGUUUUUUGCGUUUUGGCCAUCGCUUGUUAAAUAUUUUGUCCCAAGACUUUUAUAAUCAUGUUCUACUCGUUUUGAGCUUUUCGAAAAUAUAUUAUAUGUGAAAAACAGAUUAAAAACCAGUGAGAUAUGAUUUUUUGCAGAUUAGCAAUUUUUGACUAUUUUUCUGACGAAAAACUGCUUCUAUAUUCAGCGUUUUAGAAACAACUUGUUAAAUAUUUUGCCUAAAACUUAUAUAUUCAUGAUAUACUCAUUUUGGGCUUUUCGAAAAUAUUUUUUUUGUGAAAAACGGAAUCUUCCAACUUUUAAAAAAAUCCUUUUAUGAUCUUUUUUGUCUUCUACCAGAAAUUUGUGACAUACGUUGUCGCAUUAAAUGGUAAUAACCAUACUUCUGAUUUCUUGUUCCUAUUUCAGAUAUGUCUGAACGGGAACAUGCUCAAAUUGCUCCAAAUGGGAGUGAUAUUGAUAGAGGAGCAAAAAGAAAUAGUAGAAGAAUGUGUCGCAAGAGGAUCAAAACUCUAGUUGAUUCAAAUUCAGAGCCUGAAGUCAUAAGAAAUGAUUCAAGGAUGAAGUAGAAUCUGAACAGAGAAAUAAGGGCACGUAAAAGGCAAGGAAGAAGACUUCUUGAGGAUUUCAAGAAAAUAAAAAUGGCUCUUUUUGUCUCUCUGCUUGAUUUUCUCAAAUUUUUUAGGAUACAAUUAGAUGAAAUUCAUAGCAAAUUCCUUAGUGUUGAGGAUAGGGAUGCCUUCGUCAUUCUGUAUCAUUCUUUAUCAGAUUUUUGAAAGAAUAAACUUAUUGAAAUCUAUGGUGAAAUUGGGCCUAAUGAACCAUUAUGGAGGUUCUUGUGGGUCUAGGAGCGAGAUGGGUAAAACUUUUCCAUGAUAACUUAAUUUAGUUAAGUGUUUUUUUUAUGAACUCCUUUAUUUUAUUUUUGAUAUAUUAUGAAUAUAUAUCUCUGUGUUUUAUCCUAUUUUGGAUUGGUUGUU